UUCAAAGUAGAAGAAAUAUGAACAGUCGAAUUGACUGUUCAUUUUUCUUCUACUUUGAA
rnacentral:pre_miRNA from 1 species